UACGUAGGGUGCAAGCGUUGUCCGGAAUUAUUGGGCGUAAAGAGCUCGUAGGCGGUUUGUCGCGUCUGCUGUGAAAAAUCCAGGGCUUAACCCUGGACCUGCAGUGGGUACGGGCAGACUGGAGUGCGGUAGGGGAGAUCGGAAUUCCUGGUGUAGCGGUGAAAUGCGUAGAUAUCUGGAGGAACACCGGUGGCGAAGGCGGCAUCCUGGACCGGUAUUGACGCUGAGGCGCG
rnacentral:rRNA from 1 species